GGGAGCCGGAGGGAAACCGAGUCUUAACCGGGCGUUAAGUUGCAGGGUAUAGACCCGAAACCCGGUGAUCUAGCCAUGGGCAGGUUGAAGGUUGGGUAACACUAACUGGAGGACCGAACCGACUAAUGUUGAAAAAUUAGCGGAUGACCUGUGGCUGGGGGUGAAAGGCCAAUCAAACCGGGAGAUAGCUGGUUCUCCCCGAAAGCUAUUUAGGUAGCGCCUCGUGAAUUCAUCUCCGGGGGUAGAGCACUGUUUCGGCUAGGGGGCCAUCCCGGCUUACCAACCCGAUGCAAACUGCGAAUACCGGAGAAUGUUAUCACGGGAGACACACGGCGGGUGCUAACGUCCGUCGUGAAGAGGGAAACAACCCAGACCGCCAGCUAAGGUCCCAAAGUCAUGGUUAAGUGGGAAACGAUGUGGGAAGGCCCAGACAGCCAGGAUGUUGGCUUAGAAGCAGCCAUCAUUUAAAGAAAGCGUAAUAGCUCACUGGUCGAGUCGGCCUGCGCGGAAGAUGUAACGGGGCUAAACCAUGCACCGAAGCUGCGGCAGCGACACUGUGUGUUGUUGGGUAGGGGAGCGUUCUGUAAGCCUGUGAAGGUGUGUCGUGAGGCAUGCUGGAGGUAUCAGAAGUGCGAAUGCUGACAUAAGUAACGAUAAAGCGGGUGAAAAGCCCGCUCGCCGGAAGACCAAGGGUUCCUGUCCAACGUUAAUCGGGGCAGGGUGAGUCGACCCCUAAGGCGAGGCCGAAAGGCGUAGUCGAUGGGAAACGGGUUAAUAUUCCCGUACUUGGUGUUACUGCGAAGGGGGGACGGAGAAGGCUAUGUUGGCCGGGCGACGGUUGUCCCGGUUUAAGCGUGUAGGUGUGUGUUCCAGGUAAAUCCGGUUCACUUUAACACUGAGGCGUGACGACGAGGCACUACGGUGCUGAAGCAACAAAUGCCCUGCUUCCAGGAAAAGCCUCUAAGCAUCAGGUAACAUCAAAUCGUACCCCAAACCGACACAGGUGGUCAGGUAGAGAAUACCAAGGCGCUUGAGAGAACUCGGGUGAAGGAACUAGGCAAAAUGGUGCCGUAACUUCGGGAGAAGGCACGCUGACACGUAGGUGAAGUGAUUUACUCAUGGAGCUGAAGUCAGUCGAAGAUACCAGCUGGCUGCAACUGUUUAUUAAAAACACAGCACUGUGCAAACACGAAAGUGGACGUAUACGGUGUGACGCCUGCCCGGUGCCGGAAGGUUAAUUGAUGGGGUCAGCGCAAGCGAAGCUCCUGAUCGAAGCCCCGGUAAACGGCGGCCGUAACUAUAACGGUCCUAAGGUAGCGAAAUUCCUUGUCGGGUAAGUUCCGACCUGCACGAAUGGCGUAAUGAUGGCCAGGCUGUCUCCACCCGAGACUCAGUGAAAUUGAACUCGCUGUGAAGAUGCAGUGUACCCGCGGCAAGACGGAAAGACCCCGUGAACCUUUACUAUAGCUUGACACUGAACAUUGAGCCUUGAUGUGUAGGAUAGGUGGGAGGCUUUGAAGUGUGGACGCCAGUCUGCAUGGAGCCGACCUUGAAAUACCACCCUUUAAUGUUUGAUGUUCUAACGUGGACCCGUUACCCGGGUUGCGGACAGUGUCUGGUGGGUAGUUUGACUGGGGCGGUCUCCUCCUAAAGAGUAACGGAGGAGCACGAAGGUUGGCUAAUCCUGGUCGGACAUCAGGAGGUUAGUGCAAUGGCAUAAGCCAGCUUGACUGCGAGCGUGACGGCGCGAGCAGGUGCGAAAGCAGGUCAUAGUGAUCCGGUGGUUCUGAAUGGAAGGGCCAUCGCUCAACGGAUAAAAGGUACUCCGGGGAUAACAGGCUGAUACCGCCCAAGAGUUCAUAUCGACGGCGGUGUUUGGCACCUCGAUGUCGGCUCAUCACAUCCUGGGGCUGAAGUAGGUCCCAAGGGUAUGGCUGUUCGCCAUUUAAAGUGGUACGCGAGCUGGGUUUAGAACGUCGUGAGACAGUUCGGUCCCUAUCUGCCGUGGGCGCUGGAGAACUGAGGGGGGCUGCUCCUAGUACGAGAGGACCGGAGUGGACGCAUCACUGGUGUUCGGGUUGUCAUGCCAAUGGCACUGCCCGGUAGCUAAAUGCGGAAGAGAUAAGUGCUGAAAGCAUCUAAGCACGAAACUUGCCCCGAGAUGAGUUCUCCCUGAGACUUAAAGUCUCCUGAAGGAACGUUGAAGACGACGACGUUGAUAGGCCG
rnacentral:rRNA from 1 species